CUACGGGUCGCUGCAGUGGGGAAUAUUGCACAAUGGAGGAAACUCUGAUGCAGCAACGCCGCGUGGAGGAUGACACAUUUCGGUGCGUAAACUCCUUUUAUUAGGGAAGAUAAUGACGGUACCUAAUGAAUAAGCACCGGCUAACUCCGUGCCAGCAGCCGCGGUAAUACGGAGGGUGCAAGCGUUACUCGGAAUCACUGGGCGUAAAGCGCGCGCAGGCGGCCUUUUAAGUUGGAUGUGAAAGCCUACGGCUCAACCGUAGAACUGCAUCCAAAACUAUUGGGCUAGAGUGUGGGAGAGGAAGAUGGAAUUAGUUGUGUAGGGGUAAAAUCCGUAGAGAUAACUAGGAAUACCAAAAGCGAAGGCAAUCUUCUGGAACACUACUGACGCUGAGGCGCGAAAGCGUGGGGAGCAAACAGGAUUAGAUACCCCCGUAGUC
rnacentral:rRNA from 1 species